CGCUAGCUACAGGCUUAACACAUGCAAGUCAGGGGCAGCAUUGGGAUAGCUUGCUAUCCAGAUGGCGACCGGCGCACGGGUGAGUAACGCGUAUCCAACCUUCCCCAUAGUAGGGCACAGCCCGGCGAAAGUCGGAUUAAUUCCCUAUGCAGUCCAGAGAAGACAUCUGACCUGGACGAAAGAUUCAUCGCUAUGGGAUGGGGAUGCGUCUGAUUAGGUCGCAGGCGGGGUAACGGCCCACCUGGCCGACGAUCAGUAGGGGUUCUGAGAGGAAGGUCCCCCACAUUGGAACUGAGACACGGUCCAAACUCCUACGGGAGGCAGCAGUGAGGAAUAUUGGUCAAUGGACGGAAGUCUGAACCAGCCAAGUAGCGUGCAAGGAAGACGGCCCUAUGGGUUGUAAACUGCUUUUAUCAGGGGAUAAAGUGAGGUAUGUAUACCUUUUUGCAUGUACCUGAUGAAUAAGGACCGGCUAAUUCCGUGCCAGCCGCAGC
rnacentral:rRNA from 1 species